UACGUAGGGGGCGAGCGUUGUCCGGAAUCAUUGGGCGUAAAGCGCGUGUAGGCGGCUCGAUAAGUCCGGUGUGAAACCUUGGGGCUCAACCCCAAGCCUGCACUGGAUACUGCCGAGCUAGAGUCCGGGAGGGGAGAGCGGAAUUCCUAGUGUAGCGGUGAAAUGCGCAGAUAUCGGGAGGAACACCAGUAGCGAAGGCGGCUCGCUGGGCCAUUCCUGACGCUGAGACGCGAAAGCUAGGGGAGCGAACAGG
rnacentral:rRNA from 1 species